rnacentral:tRNA from 1 species
GGAGCUGUGGCUCAGUGGUAGAGUGUGCGCCUAGCAUGUGCAAGGCCCUGGUUCAACCCUCUGCACCA